GGUCCAGACUCCUACGGGAGGCAGCAGUGGGGAAUAUUGCACAAUGGGGGAAACCCUGAUGCAGCAACGCCGCGUGAGUGAAGAAGUAUUUCGGUAUGUAAAGCUCUAUCAGCAGGGAAGAAGAUGACGGUACCUGAAUAAGAAGCCCCGGCUAACUACGCGCCAGCAGCCGCGGUAAUACGUAGGUGGCAAGCGUUGUCCGGAUUUACUGGGUGUAAAGGGCGUGUGGCCGGGCUGACAAGUCAGAUGUGAAAUCCGGGGGCUCAACCCCCGAACUGCAUUUGAAACUGUUGGUCUUGAGUAUCGGAGAGGCAGGCGGAAUUCCGAGGGUAGCGGUGAAAUGCGUAGAGAUUAGGAAGAACACCAGUGGGGAAGGCGAUUCUCUGGACUGUAACUGACGCUGAGGCUCGAAAGCGUGGGGAGCAAACAGGAUUAGAUACCCGGGUAA
rnacentral:rRNA from 1 species